rnacentral:rRNA from 1 species
UACGAAGGGUGCAAGCGUUACUCGGAAUUACUGGGCGUAAAGCGUGCGUAGGUGGUUCGUUAAGUCUGAUGUGAAAGCCCUGGGCUCAACCUGGGAAUGGCAUUGGAAACUGGCGACCUAGAGUGCGGUAGAGGGUAGUGGAAUUCCCGGUGUAGCAGUGAAAUGCGUAGAGAUCGGGAGGAACAUCUGUGGCGAAGGCGACUGCCUGGACAACACCUGACACUGAGGCACGAAAGCUAGGGGAGCAAACAGG